AGUCCCCGCCCCCGCGGGAUGGGGCCCGGCCUCUUCCCAGCGUUCCUCCUCCGGCCCCAGGUCACCGCCAGCACGCGCCUGCUUCCCGUCUGCGGGAGUCCACGCAGCUCCCCAGGCCCUUCACCAGCACAGCUGCAGCAGGCAUGGCAGCAAGCGUGGAGCAGCGCGAGGGCACCAUCCAGGUGCAGGGCCAGGCCCUCUUCUUCCGAGAGGCCCUGCCCGAGAGUGGGCAGGCUCGCUUCUCUGUACUGCUGCUGCAUGGUAUUCGCUUCUCCUCCGAGACCUGGCAGAACCUGGGUACACUGCACAGGCUGGCCCAGGCUGGCUACCGGGCUGUGGCCAUUGACCUGCCAGGUACUUAAGGGGCAGGCUUCUGGGCAGGGGUUGGGGAGGUCUCAUCAGGGACAGGGCCAGGUUCCUAUAACAUGUAGCCCCUCCCCACUCCAGGGGUGGGGGCGGUGGGAUCUGGAGGACCCA
rnacentral:sRNA from 1 species